rfam:Gossypium arboreum cultivar AKA8401 contig_3885_7, whole genome shotgun sequence.
GUUUAAAAAUUUCAUCCACUUCUACCAUUAAAAACUAUCAUGGUUGAUGAAAUAACUAGACAAUCAUAUAUAGCAUGCUACGUGUAGCUCAUGCUAACAUACAAUGACCCAUUUUUAACAGUAAAAUGGAUAAAUUUUUUAACA